AGUGAACGCUGGCGGUAGGCCUAACACAUGCAAGUCGAACGGCCUCACAGUAAUAGCUUGCUCUUACGUGUGGCGAGUGUCGGACGGGUGAGUAAUACAUCGGAAUCUACUUUUUCAUUGGUGAUAACGUAGGGUAACUUAUUCUAAUACCGCAUACGUCCUACUUGUGAAAGCACGGGUUCUUCUCACCUUUCGCGAUUGUAUGAGCCGAUGUCGGAUUAGCUAGUUGGCGGGGUAAAGUCCCACCAAAGCGACGAUCCGAAGCGGGUCUGAGAGGAUGAUCAAGCACACUGGAACUGAGAAACGGUCCAGACACCUACGGGAGGCAGCAGUGGGGAAUAUUAGGCAAUGGGCGAAAGCCUGAUCCAGCGAAACCGCGUAGGUGAAGAAGGACUUCGGGUUGUAAAGCCAUGUUGUUGGGAAAGAAAAAAAGUAGGUUAAUACCCGGAUGUUAUGACGGUACCCAAAGAAUAAGCACCGGCUAACUUCGUG
rnacentral:rRNA from 1 species